rnacentral:lncRNA from 1 species
GUCAAUCAACAAAUGAUUGCCAUCCGGCCGACUCAUUACGCUCUGAUGAUUCACAAUGUGGAAGUGCUCGCACUACCUGCACCUGAGUCCAUUAGCAUUGCCAAUGCUGCUAAUUGGUUGUACACAGGUUCAGCCCAAGCGGGAGGGGAAGAUGCACAGUUUGACCAUGAUCUUUCAGGUGAGGACAUGGAAGAAGAUGAGAGGCAAGCUACUCACGGUAUUCCACCCCCACAUGAUUCGAUCCUAUAUGGUGAAGGCUCCUCUUUUAUGUCUCAGGACCAGUGGGGUUGAAUACAUACGGAGAUGGGAACUCUCUGCACCGAGCAGACCAGACAAGGUGCGGAAUUAGAUAGACAGAGUGUGGAACUGUUCCGGCAAGGGACAGUCAUGGAUGACAUGCAGGCCAUGAUGCAACGUCUGAUGUNAAAACCGAAAAGUAGUAAUAUUAACAAUGCUGAUUCACUUCUAUACCAAAAGUAUAUAUACUAUUGUAAAUCAACCUAAAGUAUAUGUAUAUAUUAAACUUAAAAAUAAAAAGUAUAUAUAUGAAAAAAACAAAUAUAUAUAUAUAUAUAUAACAAAACAAAAAGAAAUAUCUAUAUUUAAAUGAUCAUUUAAAACAGCUGCAAAUAAAAAGGAGAUCUAUAUAUAAAAAACAAAAAUUGAAAGUAUAAAACACAUAAAACUAAAACUAAAAGUUAUGACUAUUUAUAUCUACAUACAAUCACUACAAUCUCUAAAAACAGCAAGAUAUAUAUAUUGGAUACUAAUAUAUUUUAUAUGUAAAAAAACAAAAGAAAGCAAGAGUUAAAAGAGAACCAAGGUGGAAAACGGUUACUUCAUGGAGAUAUGCAACAUAUACUGUGGAUUGAGGUGUCAUGGUGUGAGUAUGGAUUUGGUGUUAAUGGGUUUUGUGUGAAAUUGAGAGAAAAACUUAAGAUAAAUGAAACUGAUGAAAAUGAAAGAGAGUUUUUUUUAUUGGGGACAGGGAGAAGCUGCGCCGCUGUGGCCUCAGACCUUUUUUCCUUUUGCUGGAGUCCUCUGUGACAUAAUAAUGGGUUUCCUCAUAAUUCAUUUCCACAAUACCCUUCUGAUGUCUAAGUAGAUAAACUGAUUCAAAUUAUAAACCAAAUAAAAUUGACCAUUUUUAAAUGGAUAAAGUAUAAAAUUAAAAGAAUGCAUAACUAAUUCUAUUUUUUUUGACGCUUUUGACUAAAAAAUUAAAAAUAAAAAAAAAAAACAAAGCUUAAAAAUGCGCUGAAAAAUAAAUUGACUGCACCAAAAUGAUCAGUGUGAAAUAAACUAAUUGAAAAAUACAGCGUUUCUUUCUCAUUUUUAAAUUAAAUUUUGGAUUGGUUAAACAGACUUGAGCGCUGAUCAAAAAGUGGGCGAGAAAUUACGUGCCCGAAAUAAAUCGAGAUAAGACCAAGAUAAAGCUACGCGACUAACGUAGACUUAAUUAAAAUUGAUGUCUCAGAAGCUUGGAUUUGGAAAAUUUCUCUGCCACUGAAUUUUGAAUCCCCGCCCCCCCCACCCCCGUUGAUUAAUUCAACUCCCCCCGGUUUUGGUCCGUAGAUCUCCGAAAAAAUUAUUUCGACUGAUAUUUUAAGGCAACUAUCGGUAUGAAAUAUCCUGCAUGGUAUGCAUGGAAACAUGCAUAGCUAUGGAGAAAAUGUAUUGAAAUCAAAAGCGUUCAAUCAUUGUUACAGAGGGUCAUUAGACAAUGGGGGGGGGGGGGGGGUAUAAAAAAGGAGGGAGAAAAAGAAAAAAAAGGGGGACAAAAGAGUCAAAAAAAAAUCGUAAAACCCCCAUGUAACGGUUUCACAGAGCCAUUAUUCAUUGAUCAUCAUCACGAAACAAGGACAAGAUUUGCAGUUAUUCAUUGACAGACACAAAGUUAAUUUCAUCGGCGGAUUUGCAUGCUUAAAGCGAACACGACACUCGACGACCACAACACGCGCGGGUGCAAGUCAUGAGGAACGCAAGUUCCGACAGCGAAGUAUCGAUGAGGCGUUGUCAGAUCAUCCAUUUCCUUUUGUUCAUAACUGCGGUUAUGAUUGGCUGCAAUUGCAGAGAUGUGCAAUAAGACUAAGUUGGGUGGAAAUCUUGAAAGAGAAGGCAAGUGUGCCAUAAGUAUGAGAUUUAUACUUAAUAGAAAAUAUUUGUUUAUUUAUUUCUUUUUAUAUAUAUGGAUAAUAAAUUUAUAUAAUGAGUAGAAGAAUUAAUAUGAUAAAUUAUAUUAUGAAUUAUAUGAUAUUAUUUUUAUUACAAUAAGAUGUCAAAGUUUUUGCUAUUUGGCUCCUUCUUUUUUUGAUUCUGUGAUCCGUUUAGUAUUUUUUUUGCUAAAUUAGGGAUAUGAGAGGAUAAAUUUGGAGGUAUGAACAUAUUAGUAGUUCCAUAAAUGAUUAUAUUAUGUAUACCUCCACAAAGUAUGUGUAUAUUUGUUUUUUUUUUUUUUUUUUUUUUUCUUUUUUUUUUUUGUUAUUUUUGCCCAUGACAUUUAUAAAAUAGAGUAAGUAUAUCUAAAUCUAUCAUUUUUCAUAUUCAUGACUGUACUUUCGUCGGUUUCAAAACCUUGUUACUUUUUUUUUUUUUUUUAUUUUUUCUUUCAAUUUUUUUUUGUUAUGCUCUCAUUUUUUUCUUUUUUUUCCUUCUUUGUUUUACCUUCUAUAUGCCUGUAAUUAUUCUUCCUAUUUUUAAUUAUAUUUUAUCUUUUUUUUUUUUUUGUUUUUUUUUUUUAGUGUGCUCCCUUGGCUUGUGUGGUGAUUCCUGGUCACUCUUGGUCCCGAGGUUGCACUCACGAGGAGUAUCCAACAUGAUUGCACUGAGUGUGUAUGGCUGGCAGGUAUGUACCACAGAGAGGCUGAGUGAGAUCGAGGUGUGGCUAUGCAUACUGGGUUGCCUGUGAGUGUACAGCUACCUAACCCUGAGAGAUAUUGCAAUAGCAGCGCUGUCGGAAAUGAGCGUGAUCUAGAUGACAUCUACACGCGUUGCUCUUCACGUAUCGCCACCACUGCAGACACACUGCACAUCGCACUCAAAACUUGCCUGAAUCGGAGAGACCUGAACUCGAUUGGAAAGGAAGAACACAAAAUGGUGAAAGACUAGGUUGCAUUGUGGAAAACGAAUUCGGGGGUGACCUUUGUUUGGACUCAAUACAUCAUUGAGGACAAGCAAUGAGACAAGUUUGGGUUGGUGAUCGGUCACCAUUUCCAUUAAAUCCCCGGCCGCUAAUCGACAUAUUUUCAUCACCUUGGUAAGAUUUAUGUUUGUUUUAGUUGCAUUUGAGUCAAUUAGCAAUGUUUUGUUGGUUUGGUAUUGAUUGCAUUCGAUUCCAAGUUAUGUCAAAAAGAUCUCAUUUAUGCUUCGUUUGGUAGUGUCAUGUUACAGUUUAAAGCAAGAAUGGUGAAGUUCUGGACACUCUGAAGGACAAAAAUAGAAAAACAGUAGUCAACACCGGCACCGUGUGCCACAACACUGCCGCGUGUGUUGAUCAAGCGAGCAGAGAGGGAGCAGAAAACAGAGAUCGACACACGGGCACCCGUGUGCCACCACACCGGCCGUGUGAUUAAAACAGUGCAUUAACACGGGCACCCGUGUGUAGGGACACGGCCCGUGUUGUUGCCACUGCUAACUUAUGCUGAAAAUAAUAAUGAUGAAGAACAACGACGGCCACCCGUGUGCCACCACACGGCACCCGUGUGCCACCACACGGCCGUGUUGAUUGGACGCAGCUUGGAAAACUAAUUUUUGCUGUGUGAACCGAUUCUGCUCAUUAAGGGUAGUUUGGACCUUUAGCUUGGAAGAGAGUCAUCUGAAGCUUAUAAGAAGGCUUGGAAGAGAAAGAAGAGGACACCUUUUGACAGACGAACGAAAGCAUUGCAUUGGAGAAGAUCGUGAAUACGACGGAUUUGAAGACGGCGGAUUCAAGGGUAUCAACCAUUGAAGAUCAAACUCUCCUAAUUCUUUGUAAUGUCUGAUCUUUACUUUAUGAGUUCUUUAAGUACUAUGGAGGCUAAACCCCCUGAUGCUAGGGGGUGGUCCUGAUGUUAUCGCAUGCUAUGAAUUUGACCAAUGAUUUCUUGAUUACUAUGUUACGUUUUCAAUUCAAUUGGUGAUGUUAUUAUGCUUUUGUAUCGGACAAAUACAAAUUGAUCUAUGACUUCCAAUAACAGGAUUGUGAUUGGUAGGGUUUUCACACAAUUGGGUUUAUGAUGCAUCAUCUAGCACUAGUAACUUUCGUAAAUCACCGUAAACCUUGAUAUUUUGUAUGAUUAAAACCAAUGAUUAAUUGAAUGGACAUUUGAGUAGAAUUGGUAGUUUAAUAUUUCUUCCUUAAGGACUUAAGUAAAGAACAUUCUGAGUUAGGUGAUGAAUGUUCAUAUGUUAUAAGGAAAUCGGGACUGAAUUCAUAAUCGGUUAACUCAACCACUCACCCUAGCAUCUUUUAUCUUAAUCAAUUGUUUUUACUAUUUUUGUGUUUACUAUUAUAAAAUUCAAAACAAAAAAAAGAAAAAAAUAAACACAAAAAAAACGAAUUCCAAAACACCAACUAAACCAAGACCAUUACUUUUUUUCGUUCUGAUUAGAAUUCAAUAUUAAUAAGUAUUUCCUACGCAAUCCUUGAGAUCGAUACUUGGAAAUAAAACUCCUUAUUACUACAUCGGUAAAAAUAGUACACUUGCUAUUUUUCCGAUCACGUGGUCAUUACUGGUUUUGAUCAAGUGGCCAUAAAAACAACUUAAACAACAACUUCAAGCCUUGUUUCAGAUAAAAGAUUCUGGUUGUCAACAUUAUUUCUUGGGUUUUGAGGUUUAUUCUAAUUCCAAUGGUAUUUUUCUUCAUUAGCACAAGUAUACUACAUAUCUGAUCUCCUUGGUGGGUCUUCAAUCUGCUGCCCCGGUGGAUACUCCUUUUGAGGUUAACGUCAAAUAUCAUUGUGAUAAGGGUGAUCUUUUGCCCGAUCCACUUUUGUAUCGUUAACUAGUGGGGAGUCUUAAUUAUAUAACAAUUACUCGCCUUGACAUCUUGUUUGCAGUCCAACCGGCCAAUUAAUUUAUGCACACUCCUCGACACCUUCAUUUGGCUGAUGUUCCUCGCAUCAUUCGUUACUUGAAAUGUAGCUCUCAUCGUGGCCUCUUCUUUCCUUUGGUUGGAAAUAAUGGCGUUGGUUGGGAAGAUUAUUCUGAUAUUAGAUGAUCUGUCACCGAUUGGUGCAUGUUUCUUAGUUAUGCAUUAAUUUCUUGAAAAAGUAAAAAAAAACACAAGCACGAGUCUCCAAGUUCUCCACUGAAUCUAAAUAUCGAACUAUUUCAACAACAUGUUCGACAAUUAUUUGGCUUCGUGGUCUUCUAGCUAAGCUAGGUUUCUCUCAGCAAACAUCAACACCUCUCUAUGUUGAGAAUACUAAUGUUAUUCAAAUUGUUGUGAAUCCAGUUUUUCUUGAACGGACUAAGCAUAUCAAGAUGGAUUGUCAUUCUAUCCUAGAAGCCUUUGAGAAGCACAUUAUAUCUCUUAUGCAUGUCACCUUACAACUUCAACUUGUCGAUAUAUCCUUUAAGGCAUUUCCUCGUCCUCAACAUCAAUUUCUCGUUAGCAAAUUGAUGUUGCUUGACCAACCACAUCAAUUUAAGGGGAUGUCAAUAAGAAAAUAUAAUAUUAUUAGUUUUCUGUUAUAUAUGUAUAACUUUAGAAGUUACUAAUUGUAUUUAAUUAAAACUUAAAUCAAAGUAUUUGUAAUUAGUUGUGAUAAUUAUGUAAAUAUUUGUAAUUAUUAAGUUUGUUUUAUUUA